UACGGAGGGAGCUAGCGUUGUUCGGAAUUACUGGGCGUAAAGCGCACGUAGGCGGCUUUGUAAGUUAGAGGUGAUAGCCUGGAGCUCAACUCCAGAAUUGCCUUUAAGACUGCAUCGCUUGAAUCCAGGAGAGGUGAGUGGAAUUCCGAGUGUAGAGGUGAAAUUCGUAGAUAUUCGGAAGAACACCAGUGGCGAAGGCGUCUCACUGGACUGGUAUUGACGCUGAGGUGCGAAAGCGUGGGGAGCAAACAGGAUUAGAUACC
rnacentral:rRNA from 1 species